GACGAACGCUGGCGGCGUGCCUAAUACAUGCAAGUCGAGCGGAUUCACUCCUUCGGGAGUGGGUUAGCGGCGGACGGGUGAGUAACACGUAGGCAACCUGCCUAUAAGCCUGGGAUAACUUCCGGAAACGGAUGCUAAUACCGGAUACGUUGAGUUCUCGCAUGAGGAUUCAUGGAAAGACGGCGCAAGCUGUCACUUAUGGAUGGGCCUGCGGCGCCUUAGCUAGUUGGUGGGGUAACGGCUCACCAAGGCGACGAUGCGUAGCCGGCCUGAGAGGGUGAUCGGCCACGCUGGGACUGAGGCACGGCCACGACUCCUACGGGAGGCAGCAGUAGGGAAUCUUCGGCAAUGGACGAAAGUCUGACCGAGCAACGCCGCGUGAGUGAUGAAGGCCUUCGGGUCGUAAAACUCUGUUGCCAGAGAAGAACGUCAUCCAGAGUAACUGCUGGGUGAGUGACGGUAUCUGAGAAGAAAGCCCCGGCUAACUACGUGCCAGCCGCCGCGGUAAAAC
rnacentral:rRNA from 1 species